rnacentral:rRNA from 1 species
UCCAGACUCCUACGGGAGGCAGCAGUGGGGAAUAUUGCACGAUGGGGGAAACCCUGAUGCAGCAACGCCGCGUGAGUGAAGAAGUAUUUCGGUAUGUAAAGCUCUAUCAGCAGGGAAGAAAAUGACGGUACCUGACUAAGAAGCCCCGGCUAACUACGUGCCAGCAGCCGCGGUAAUACGUAGGGGGCAAGCGUUAUCCGGAUUUACUGGGUGUAAAGGGAGCGUAGACGGCAUGGCAAGUCAGAUGUGAAAGCCCGGGGCUCAACCCCGGGACUGCAUUUGAAACUGUCAGGCUGGAGUGCAGGAGAGGUAAGUGGAAUUCCUAGUGUAGCGGUGAAAUGCGUAGAUAUUAGGAGGAACACCAGUGGCGAAGGCGGCUUACUGGACUGUAACUGACGUUGAGGCUCGAAAGCGUGGGGAGCAAACACGAUUAGAUACCCCCGUAGAC